UACGGGAGGCAGCAGUGGGGAAUAUUGCACAAUGGGCGCAAGCCUGAUGCAGCCAUGCCGCGUGUAUGAAAAAGGCCUUCGGGUUGUAAAGUACUUUCAGUCGUGAGGAAGGUGUUAAGGUUAAUAACCUUAGCAAUUGACGUUAGCGACAGAAGAAACACCGGCUAACUCCGUGCCAGCAGCCGCGGUAAUACGGAGGGUGCGAGCGUUAAUCGGAAUUACUGGGCGUAAAGGGCACGCAGGCGGUUAAUUAAGUUGGAUGUGAAAUCCCCGGGCUUAAACCUGGGAAUGGCAUUUCAAGACUGGUUAGCUAGAGUCUUGUAGAGGGGGUAGAAUUCCAUGUGUAGCGGUGAAAUGCGUAGAGAUGUGGAGGAAUACCGGUGGCGAAAGGCGGCCCCUGGACAAAGACUGACGCUCAUGUGCGAAAAGCGUGGGGAGCAAAACAGGGAUUAGAUACC
rnacentral:rRNA from 1 species